CUACAUCAACAUAUAAUGUUACGUUCCCUCCUGGACUAGGGGUGCAAAGGGAAGUAACAAAAAUAUAAAAUAACCGGGAGAGAGAAAAAAGGAGAAUAAUAAACUGAUUGUUGAAGCCACAAGGUGAUGCUUUAAUUAAUAUAAAAUAUAAGAGGCUCACCAGCCAAUUUGCAAAACAAACUUAAAGUAACUAAGAACAACUUUCUUCAAAAAGAAAGUGACUAAAUUAAACAAUACACAAAAAGGUAAACUGGAGCACAUCUUCUAACAAUAAACAAAACACAGGUU